GGUUAAGCGACUAAGCGUACACGGUGGAUGCCCUGGCAGUCAGAGGCGAUGAAGGACGUGCUAAUCUGCGAAAAGCGCCGGCGAGGUGAUAUGAACCUUUGACCCGGCGAUGUCCGAAUGGGGAAACCCAGUGUGUUCCGACACACUAUCGUUAACUGAAUACAUAGGUUAACGAGGCGAACCGGGGGAACUGAAACAUCUAAGUACCCCGAGGAAAAGAAAUCAACCGAGAUUCCCCCAGUAGCGGCGAGCGAACGGGGAGCAGCCCGGAGUCUGAAUCAGCUUGUGUGUUAGUGGAACGGUCUGGAAAGUCCGACGGUACAGGGUGAUAGUCCCGUACACGAAAACACACUUGCUGUGAACUCGAAGAGUAGGGCGGGACACGUGGUAUCCUGUCUGAAUAUGGGGGGACCAUCCUCCAAGGCUAAAUACUCCUGACUGACCGAUAGUGAACCAGUACCGUGAGGGAAAGGCGAAAAGAACCCCGGCGAGGGGAGUGAAAAAGAACCUGAAACCGUGUACGUACAAGCAGUGGGAGCCUCUUUAUGGGGUGACUGCGUACCUUUUGUAUAAUGGGUCAGCGACUUAUAUUCUGUAGCAAGGUUAACCGUAUAGGGGAGCCGAAGGGAAACCGAGUCUUAACUGGGCGUUAAGUUGCAGGGUAUAGACCCGAAACCCGGUGAUCUAGCCAUGGGCAGGUUGAAGGUUGGGUAACACUAACUGGAGGACCGAACCGACUAAUGUUGAAAAAUUAGCGGAUGACCUGUGGCUGGGGGUGAAAGGCCAAUCAAACCGGGAGAUAGCUGGUUCUCCCCGAAAGCUAUUUAGGUAGCGCCUCGUGAACUCAUCUUCGGGGGUAGAGCACUGUUUCGGCUAGGGGGCCAUCCCGGCUUACCAACCCGAUGCAAACUACGAAUACCGAAGAAUGUUAUCACGGGAGACACACGGCGGGUGCUAACGUCCGUCGUGAAGAGGGAAACAACCCAGACCGCCAGCUAAGGUCCCAAAGUCAUGGUUAAGUGGGAAACGAUGUGGGAAGGCACAGACAGCCAGGAUGUUGGCUUAGAAGCAGCCAUCAUUUAAAGAAAGCGUAAUAGCUCACUGGUCGAGUCGGCCUGCGCGGAAGAUGUAACGGGGCUAAACCAUGCACCGAAGCUGCGGCAGCGACACUAUGUGUUGUUGGGUAGGGGAGCGUUCUGUAAGCCGUUGAAGGUGUGCUGUGAGGCAUGCUGGAGGUAUCAGAAGUGCGAAUGCUGACAUAAGUAACGAUAAAGCGGGUGAAAAGCCCGCUCGCCGGAAGACCAAGGGUUCCUGUCCAACGUUAAUCGGGGCAGGGUGAGUCGACCCCUAAGGCGAGGCCGAAAGGCGUAGUCGAUGGGAAACAGGUUAAUAUUCCUGUACUUGGUGUUACUGCGAAGGGGGGACGGAGAAGGCUAUGUCAGCCGGGCGACGGUUGUCCCGGUUUAAGCAUGUAGGCGGAGGUUCCAGGUAAAUCCGGUACCUUAUUAACGCUGAGGUGUGAUGACGAGGCACUACGGUGCUGAAGUGAUAAAUGCCCUGCUUCCAGGAAAAGCCUCUAAGCAUCAGGUAACACGAAAUCGUACCCCAAACCGACACAGGUGGUCAGGUAGAGAAUACCAAGGCGCUUGAGAGAACUCGGGUGAAGGAACUAGGCAAAAUGGUGCCGUAACUUCGGGAGAAGGCACGCUGAUAUGUAGGUGAAGUCCCUGCGGGCGGAGCUGAAAUCAGUCGAAGAUACCAGCUGGCUGCAACUGUUUAUUAAAAACACAGCACUGUGCAAACACGAAAGUGGACGUAUACGGUGUGACGCCUGCCCGGUGCCGGAAGGUUAAUUGAUGGGGUUAGCGGCAACGCGAAGCUCUUGAUCGAAGCCCCGGUAAACGGCGGCCGUAACUAUAACGGUCCUAAGGUAGCGAAAUUCCUUGUCGGGUAAGUUCCGACCUGCACGAAUGGCGUAAUGAUGGCCAGGCUGUCUCCACCCGAGACUCAGUGAAAUUGAACUCGCUGUGAAGAUGCAGUGUACCCGCGGCAAGACGGAAAGACCCCGUGAACCUUUACUAUAGCUUGACACUGAACACUGGUCCUUGAUGUGUAGGAUAGGUGGGAGGCUUUGAAGCGUGGACGCCAGUCUGCGUGGAGCCAUCCUUGAAAUACCACCCUUUAAUGGCUGGUGUUCUAACGUAGACCCGUAAUCCGGGUUGCGGACAGUGUCUGGUGGGUAGUUUGACUGGGGCGGUCUCCUCCCAAAGAGUAACGGAGGAGCACGAAGGUUGGCUAAUCCUGGUCGGACAUCAGGAGGUUAGUGCAAUGGCAUAAGCCAGCUUGACUGCGAGCGUGACGGCGCGAGCAGGUGCGAAAGCAGGUCAUAGUGAUCCGGUGGUUCUGAAUGGAAGGGCCAUCGCUCAACGGAUAAAAGGUACUCCGGGGAUAACAGGCUGAUACCGCCCAAGAGUUCAUAUCGACGGCGGUGUUUGGCACCUCGAUGUCGGCUCAUCACAUCCUGGGGCUGAAGUAGGUCCCAAGGGUAUGGCUGUUCGCCAUUUAAAGUGGUACGCGAGCUGGGUUUAGAACGUCGUGAGACAGUUCGGUCCCUAUCUGCCGUGGGCGCUGGAGAAUUGAGGGGGGCUGCUCCUAGUACGAGAGGACCGGAGUGGACGCAUCACUGGUGUUCGGGUUGUCAUGCCAAUGGCACUGCCCGGUAGCUAAAUGCGGAAGAGAUAAGUGCUGAAAGCAUCUAAGCACGAAACUUGCCCCGAGAUGAGUUCUCCCUGAGACUUUAAGUCUCCUGAAGGAACGUUGAAGACGACGACGUUGAUAGGUCGGGUGUGUAAGCGCAGCGAUGCGUUGAGCUAACCGAUACUAAUGAACCGUGAGGCUUAACCUU
rnacentral:rRNA from 1 species